GACGAACGCUGGCGGCGUGCUUAACACAUGCAAGUCGAACGGAAAGGCCCUGCUUUUGUGGGGUGCUCGAGUGGCGAACGGGUGCGUAACACGUGAGUAACCUGCCCUUGACUUUGGGAUAACUUCACGUAACUGGGGUUAAUCUCGGAUAGGAGCUCCUGUUCCAUGGUGGGGGUUGGAAAGUUUCGGCGGUUGGGGAUGGACUCGCGGCUUAUCAGCUUGUUGGUGGGGUAGUGGCUUACCCAGGAUUUGACGGGUAGCUGGCCUGUGAGGGUGGCCGGCCACAAUGGUACUGAGAUACGGCCCAGACUCCUACGGGAGGCAGCAGUGGGGAAUAUUGCACAAUGGGCGGAAGCCUGAUGCGGCAACGCCGCGUGCGGGAUGACGGCCUUCGGGUUGUAAACCGCUUUCGCCUGUGACGAAGCGUGAGUGACGGUAAUGGGUAAAGAAGCACCGGCUAACUACGUG
rnacentral:rRNA from 1 species